rnacentral:tRNA from 1 species
GUGGGUAGCUCAGUGGUUAGAGCUUAGGUCUAUUAACCUUAGGUCCCGAGAUUGAAUCCCGCUAAAGGCA